AGCCAGUUCAAGAAAUGGAUGGAUGACAAAGGAUAUUCAAAAUCUAAGGAAGCCAGUGGCAAGUGAGCAAAGCAUCUUAUCUGGAAACAAGAUGGGCUCACAUGUGGAAGCUAUUGGAACAUGCAAUUUAGUUUUAAGUAAUGGUUUUGUUUUAAAGUUAGAAAAGACCUUUUAUGUACCAAGUUUCUCUAGAAACUUGAUUUCAGUUUCAAGACUUAUACCCUUUGGUUUUUCCUUUACAUUUUCAGACAAAUAUUUCAAUUUAUAUUAUAAAUCUGAAUGUGUUGGAAAUGGUAUUUUGUC